UACGAAAGGAGCAGGUGUUAUUCAGAUUAACUGGGCGUAAAGGGCACGUAGGUGGUUUGUUAUGUGUACUAUAAAAUUAUAAAGCAUAACUUUAUACUGUAGUAUAGACAACUAAACUAGAGUUAGGUAGAGGGUAGUAGAAUUUCUAAUGUAAAGGUGAAAUUUGAUAAAUUUAGAGAGAAUACCAAUGGCGGAGGCAACCACCUGGGCCUUAGCUGACACUGAGGUGCGAAGGUAUGGGGAGCAAAUAGG
rnacentral:rRNA from 1 species